CUUGAACUCGCGCUUGCCGUAGCGGCACCAGGCGGCGAAACUCUCCGAGUUGCGCCAGCUCAGCUCGCGCUCCUUGGCACCCACGUGCGCCAGCGCGUUGCGCACCACGGCGCUGGAGCUUAGCGGCUUGUAGCGGUACAGAUCGUUGACCACGCGGCCGCGACGGCCCUGGCUGGCGUCAGUCAGGAAGCUGUUAAUCACCUCCAGCCGGUGCAGGUGCACCACCUGGAAGUUACCCACAUAUACGGCCCAGUGCGGGUACUGAGCCUGCGACACGAACUCCACCAGAUCGCCCGGCUUGCACUUGUUGAGCAGGUUCUCGGGCGUGUAGGUACUCAGCGCCGCCGAGCCCGGCGCGAAGCUCUUCUGGUAGAUGCAUUCGUCCCGGUAGAACACGGAGCAUUCCACCUCGUGCAGCCGCGGAUCGUAGGGCUGCGGCUGGGGCGGCGGCGGCCCGUCCCCACCGUCGGGCAAGCCGCCGCCAUCUGGCCCCUGAGGCGGCGGCUGCGGCUCCACGUCCUCAUCGUCAUUGGAGAAAAUGUAGGAGACCCCAAUGCGGGGCCCGUCGUCCCGGUCCACGCCAGUCGGGUCGGCCGUGGGAACUUCCUUGUAACUUAGGCUCUCACAAAAGUCACCGCGUUUGUGUAGGUAACUAAGGCCUACCGAAACCAGUCAGCCCUAAGUGCACACAGGAGAACCAUGGAGUUGGAGGAAAAGUGUCUUGCCUUAGACGACGUUUGAGAAUUUGUCAGAACAGGGCCUGGAGGGAAUAAAAAGGAGGUGAGAAGUCUCUGUAGAGAUCAUCAACAUGGCCCAUCUCUCCUUAAAAGUAAGCCAAGUAAACUCACUUAUUAGAAGAAUGACAUCAUCAGGACUGUUUCUGAGAAAGCCUACUUCUGCUCCUUACCAUAUGUAGAAAUAUAAUUUCAUAUUAAAGACCAAGAAUUCAGACAUCAUCCUGGUGCAUACAUCAGGAUUGCAACGAUAAAUGCUUUGGAAAUGUCAUUGGAGGAAGGAUGAUCUGCAAGUAUCCUGCAA
rnacentral:lncRNA from 10 species